UAGUCAUAUGCUUGUCUCAAAGAUUAAGCCAUGCAUGUCUAAGUAUAAGCAACUUUGUACUGUGAAACUGCGAAUGGCUCAUUAAAUCAGUUAUAGUUUAUUUGAUAGUUUUUGCUACAUGGAUAACUGUGGUAAUUCUAGAGCUAAUACAUGCAUUCAAGCCCCGACUUCUGGAAGGGGUGUAUUUAUUAGAUAAAAAUCAACUUUGUUGGUGAAUCAUGAUAACUUCUCGGACCGCAUGGCCUCGUGCUGGCGGUGCUUCAUUCAAAUAUCUGCCCUAUCAACUGUCGAUGGUAGGAUAGAGGCCUACCAUGGUUGCAACGGGUAACGGGGAAUAAGGGCUCGAUUCCGGAGAGGGAGCCUGAGAAACGGCUACCACAUCCAAGGAAGGCAGCAGGCGCGCAAAUUACCCAAUCCCAACACGGGGAGGUAGUGACAAUAUGUAACAAUAUACGGCCUUAUACGUCGUAUAAUUGGAAUGAGUACAAUUUAAAUCCCUUAACGAGGAACAAUU
rnacentral:rRNA from 1 species